rnacentral:lncRNA from 1 species
GAAAAUAAAGGCUUGUGGGCUCCUCAACCUUAUCUCUAUCCAUCUCUCUCUUCCCUCUCACUAAGCUGCCGUCCAAAACUUCUCCAUUUUCGUGAGCUCCAUCCUCGGUCCUCUUCAACACUUGCCGACUCCCCCUCCGCAACUCCAUCUCUCCCUCGAUUUCUUUCCCUUCAUCCCCUCGAACUCUCACGACAACAAGCUGUUCGGACGACUUCAUCAACACAAGAAGCCAUUUCUUUUGACCACCCAAUCCUCACGAUUUUAGCUCAACAUCCACUGAGUUCUCCUUUGCUGCCCUCUCUCGGUCAAACUCCUCACCACUGAAGACUCGAGCAAGCAUCCGUGUAGUCUUCUCCAGCUCGUGGCCACCGGAACUGCAGCUGCCUUCUUUUUCUUUCGGGGUUGUGCGUGUCCAGCAACGAUCGAAGACUCCCUAGCAGCAAAAGCGUCCACGAACUGCCCAUCUUCGGUCAACAGCUUCCACCGAGUUGAAGCCCACGAAGACCGAAGCCAGUGAAGUUGCUUUUCCCCCUCUUCGUUUGCGACAACUCCCCCGGCGCCAGCUCACUUCACGGGUCAACGAAGCAGCUCCAUCCUCUCGGUGGUUGACCGCCAAACGUCCACGGAGCUACUCCAUCAUCCGCACGUCUCUGCCAGCGAAGCCACCGAGCGCCAUCUUCUCUCCAUCCGCGGCCAGCUGUCCGCGAUUUCUAUUUCCCAGGUCAACCGUCGAAGAUCCCAGCAAGCCUUCGUUGACGCCAGCUCCUUUGAUUCAGCUUCGGUUUGCAGAGUGCAACCCAGCGAAGACAGGCCCGGUUCGGCAGGGCCCAUCUUCAACAGCAAUUCGGGCCUUUUGGUACAGUCCACUGAUCAGCCCAGCUUCCAUUUUGUAACUUGCUUGGCCCAAAUCUCCAGCAGCCCAUUAACUGAAAGUUUGAGGCCCAAUUUCCAGCAAAGAAAUUUGAAGCCCAAGUGAAGUUAGUCCAGAAAUUUCAGCAGGCCCAAUUCAAUUUGGGUCUAGCCCAAAAGCAGGAACAAAUCUCAGUUGGGCUGAGAUUUGUUGGGGCCAAGCCUAAGGCCCGGUCCAAGUUCGCCGGUGUCGUCGAAAGUCCUAUUUCGGCCGCCGUCGCAUCGCCGUUGCGGUGAUUCGGUCUCCGCUUUUGUCAGGUGAGUUUUACUCACUAAUGCUUUAUUAGUUUGCUAAUUAUGCUUAAGGUUGGUUAGAUUUAAUUAAAUGCACUUAGGUGGUUAGAUUAGGUUAGAACAAUUAAUUUAGUGACUUAAUAAUGCAUGUUAGGUGGUUAGACCUAGCUAUUAGCAAGUAGAAAUGUUUGAUUAUUUAUUGAAUGUAUCUCGGGAUUUUUUCCCGACCCGUUUCGGGCUCCAAUAAGGCAAUAUAGGCCUAAAUUGGAUUUUUAAUGUUUAUUUAUGUAUUUUUCGAAAUUAAUUAUUUAAUUAAUUAUUUUUCCGGAAAUUCAACCGAGAUGGCCGGUGACCGGAAUUUCGUGCCGAUUGUCGUGGUGCAGACCGUUUAUUUAAUUGAGCUCUACGUGGUGUGGAAUUGAAUUUAUUGUGGAAUUUUAGGAAUUGUCCUAAAUUAUUUGUUAUUGAAUAUUUGAUUGGUAAUGGCCAAGCAUGGAUAUAUAGCGCCAGUACGUUGAUGGGCUAUAUAGUAGGGAGAAUGGUGAGCUAACUGAGAAUGUUAUUGGCUGAGACCAAUCAGGUACGAUGUUAUUGGAUAUACGUGGUUCGGUGAUUGGAAGUAUCACUGGCGAAAACGGCGCCUUAAAGAACGCACGUAAAUGACUUAUAGACACACGUGGUUCGGUGAUUAUGGGAAUAUCACUGGUGAAAACGGCGCCUUAAAGAACGCACGAUGUUGUCUAUAGCCGAUGUCACCUUGGCGAAAACGGCGCCCUUGAAAGGACACGUGGUUCGGUGAUCAAGGUUAUCACUGGUGAAAACGGCGCCUUAAAGAACGCACGGUGUCGGUGAUCGGUAUGUCAUUGGCGAAAACGACGCCCGAGAAACACAUGUGAUUUGGUGAAUGAGUACACCACUGGGAAAUCGUGGUAUGAGUGGGAAUGACCUAGAAAGGGUCUGGCUGACAUGUAAUCGACUUAGUCGAUUGAUCAAUGCUUGAUCGGAUGUCUUGAAUUGUUUGAAUAUCUGUGUUUAACCUUGAAUUGCAGGUUGGAACUGAGGCUAAGGUAAGUCUUCUGACUCGUGUUGUGCUUAGGCAACCGUAUGGCGUAUUAGUUUAUUAAUCGAGUCUUAGUGGGUAGGACUCGCUGAGACGUGGUCUCAUUGGUUAUUGAAUAACCAUUUCAGGACCCUGAGGAAAAGCUGAGAAGGAAGAACCUGAAGGGGAGAAAGUAUUUUGAAGUAGAAGAUGAUCCAGAGAGGAAUCUUGAGUACCACCCAGAUGUGGAUUGAGAUCCCAUUCCUAUUGUAAACCCUGUCUUGGUAUAGAUAGGUGUGAGACUUUUAUGCUGUAAGUAGUAUUGUAAAUAUACUAUGAGUUGUGCUGUUAAUGGAAGUGUGGUUAUGAAUUUCAAUAUGAAAAAUAUGGCCUGCUUUCCUA